rnacentral:rRNA from 1 species
UACGUAGGCAGCAAGCGUUGUUCGGAUUUACUGGGCGUAAAGCGUGCGCAGGCGGUUUGCUAAGACCGAUGUGAAAUCCCCGGGCUUAACCUGGGAACUGCAUUGGUGACUGGCAAGCUAGAGUGUGGCAGAGGGGGGUAGAAUUCCACGUGUAGCAGUGAAAUGCGUAGAGAUGUGGAGGAAUACCGAUGGCGAAGGCAGCCCCCUGGGCCAACACUGACGCUCAUGCACGAAAGCGUGGGGAGCAAACAGG